CGGGUCGCGUGGCUGCUCAUUCGGUCUCGCAAGCGCACCACCGAGCGGUCGUCUUCUCC
rnacentral:sRNA from 1 species